GUUGAGUUUACGUGGUCUCUUUCCCUCGAGUUUCUUGCUUUUCCCCCCGAGUUUCUUUUCACUAUCAACCAAAAUCCCUAGAGUUUCUUUUCACUAUCAACCACAACCCACUGUAUCCUAAAUUUCAGAUUCAUCAAACCCACUGCCCCAAUUUCACUCUUUAUUUUCGCUCAAAUUUCAUGCGUUCGUCUUAAAUUGGUGGAACACGUCACUGUGGCUUUGGUGGAGCAAGUCGCUCGCGGCAACAAGAUUUAACGCGUUGCCCUGCGUUCCGAAUCGUGGGGACGGUCAAGAGUAGAAUUGUUAUUGCAGGAAUGGUAAAGUGAGGAGAAUAAAGAAGAAUGACGUGCGAGAAGCCCCACUUACCAACGUUCCUUUCUUCCUCAUCUUUCACGUCCAAGAAAUCCCAUUCCUUCGCUCUAGGCAAUGCAGGGCAAGGGUUCACUCUGCAAUUGAUCAACUCUUGCUAUAUUAAAGAUUGGAGAAAGUGAAGAAAGAUAGGGGUUGCACCGCCAAAGAGUGUAUCAGUAAAAUGCCUCCCUGUGUUGUUGGAAAAUGGAGCUCUAUAUAUCGCAGCGUCACCAGGACCCUUUCUUAUUGAUAUCUUUGUUCAAUACCUCAACGGAGAACACAUGUUUAAAAAUGAAGGAUAUGUUUUGACUGCGGCACUUGUUGCUGCAAAGCUUUUGGAGAGUCUUGCAGACAGGCACUGACUGCAUGUUCAGGUUGCAGCAGUAUGGGGUUCAAAUUCAAUCCAAGUUGGUGGCAAUGAUCUAUGCUAAAGGUUUGAUUCUUUCAUGUCAAUGAAUGGAGGUUCAUAGCUAUUGGUUUAUUUUUAGAAAGCUUGGAGCACUUUAUUGUUCACCCUAAAUUGUCCAUCCUAUCAUCCCAAAUAGUACAGGAUUUUUAAUUCUGCCCAUUUUGUUUCCGUGAGUUUGGACUAAUACAAUUAGCUUUAAAGAAAAUAAUUACACAUGAUGCGACACCUUGUCUAUCCACUUUUGUAAGUUCUUGGAUCAUACCAAAAUUGAUCUUUCUCAUUCACCAUUAUGACUUGCCAAUAUCCCUACACUUCCUCAAUGAUUUAGGUUAGGUGGCUAAUGGAUUAG